rfam:Bacillus sp. FJAT-27986 scaffolf1, whole genome shotgun sequence.
UCCGUGGCGAAGCGGAAUCUGAAGGAAGUCGGAGGCAAAUCUCCCCCAAGGAACACGAACUGCAUACAAGGCUAACUAAGUACAUUGGUGUGAGAGGUCGGGGUUAAU